GGGCUACAGGGGCUGGACCAGGGGCUGGGGUUGGGCAUAGCUUGGGCUGACUUGCAGUUGCUGGCCUUGAAGAAAGGAGAAGCAAAGUCAUUGUGAUUGGAGGAAGGAGAUUCAGGGAGCAAGUAUAGCUCUUAGUAUCAGUUCCAAUGGGUUGGAUACACGAAAGAGGGAGUAAAAACUGGACUGGGGCUUCAAGAGUGUGGGGACUAUAUUUGUAUUUCCUCCCAGUGUAUUCACAGUGCAUCUGGUUCACCAAAGGAACUAUACUCUGGGGGUGAUUUUAUCGAUGUGUGGCAGAAGGACUAUGGAAUAGCGAGCUACUUGUGCAUCUCUUCUGUUCCGUGUGGUCAUGUUGGCAGCUUGAAAUUUAUCAAGUGGGAAGCAUUUACAUCAAAGAAAUUGGCAAGCUGGCAAACAAGGAAACAAGGAGAACUGUGUGCUCAGCCCUCCACAGUGGCAUGGAUUAUGAGGAGGUGAUGGUCCUUCCCUGCCAAGCUCCUGAGACACUGUCACUCCGGAAUCCAAAAAAGAGAUUCAGGCAGGGAUGUGGGAAAAUUGGAACCCUGCACGCUGUUGUUAGGAAUGCCAAAUGGUGCAGCUGCUAUGGAAAACAGUACGGAGGUUCCUCAAAAAAUUAAAAAUAGAAUU